AGCAGCCGCGGUAAUUCCAGCUCCAAUAGCGUAUAUUAAAGUUGCUGCAGUUAAAAAGCUUGUAGUUGAAUUUCGGGACCAUCAUGUCGGUCGUGCCUCGGUACGUACUGGCAUUGUUGGUUUCUACCUUCUGACGAACCAUGAUGUCAUUUAUUUGGUGUCGUGGGAAAUCAGGACUGUUACUUUGAAAAAAUUAGAGUGUUUAAAGCAGGCUCACGCUUGAAUACAUUAGCAUGGAAUAAUGAAAUAGGACGUUUGAUUCUAUUUUGUUGGUUUCUAGGAUCGACGUAAUGAUUAAUAGGGAUAGUUGGGGGCAUUAGUAUUCAAUUGUCAGAGGUGAAAUUCUUGGAUUUAUUGAAGACUAACUACUGCGAAAGCAUUUGCCAAGGAUGUUUUCAUUAAUCAAGAACGAAAGUUAGGGGAUCGAAGACGAUCAGAUACCGUCGUAGUCUUAACCAUAAACUAUGCCGACUAGGGAUCGGAUGAUGUUAAUUUUUUAAUGACUCAUUCGGCGCCUUACG
rnacentral:rRNA from 1 species